GAUGAACGCUGGCGGCGUGCCUAAUACAUGCAGGUCGAGCGAACGGACGAGAAGCUUGCUUCUCUGAUGUUAGCGGCGGACGGGUGAGUAACACGUGGAUAACCUACCUAUAAGACUGGGAUAACUUCGGGAAACCGGAGCUAAUACCGGAUAAUAUUUUGAACCGCAUGGUUCAAAAGUGAAAGACGGUCUUGCUGUCACUUAUAGAUGGAUCCGCGCUGCAUUAGCUAGUUGGUAAGGUAACGGCUUACCAAGGCAACGAUGCAUAGCCGACCUGAGAGGGUGAUCGGCCACACUGGAACUGAGACACGGUCCAGACUCCUACGGGAGGCAGCAGUAGGGAAUCUUCCGCAAUGGACGAAAGCCUGACGGAGCAACGCCGCGUGAGUGAUGAAGGUCUUCGGAUCGUAAAACUCUGUUAUUAGGGAAGAACAUAUGUGUAAGUAACUGUGCACAUCUUGACGGUACCUAAUCAGAAAGCCACGGCUAACUACGUG
rnacentral:rRNA from 1 species